GAUGAACGCUGGCGGCGUGCCUAAUACAUGCAAGUCGAGCGAACGGACGAGAAGCUUGCUUCUCUGAUGUUAGCGGCGGACGGGUGAGUAACACGUGGAUAACCUACCUAUAAGACUGGGAUAACUUCGGGAAACCGGAGCUAAUACCGGAUAAUAUUUUGAACCGCAUGGUUCAAAAGUGAAAGACGGUCUUGCUGUCACUUAUAGAUGGAUCCGCGCUGCAUUAGCUAGUUGGUAAGGUGACGGCUUGCCAAGGCAACGAUGCAUAGCCGACCUGAGAGGGUGAUCGGCCACACUGGAACUGAGACACGGUCCAGACUCCUACGGGAGGCAGCAGUAGGGAAUCUUCCGCAAUGGGCGAAAGCCUGACGGAGCAACGCCGCGUGAGUGAUGAAGGUCUUCGGAUCGUAAAACUCUGUUAUUAGGGAAGAACAUAUGUGUAAGUAACUGUGCACAUCUUGACGGUACCUAAUCAGAAAGCCACGGCUAACUACGUGCCAGCAGCCGCGGUAAUACGUAGGUGGCAAGCGUUAUCCGGAAUUAUUGGGCGUAAAGCGCGCGUAGGCGGUUUUUUAAGUCUGAUGUGAAAGCCCACGGCUCAACCGUGGAGGGUCAUUGGAAACUGGAAAACUUGAGUGCAGAAGAGGAAAGUGGAAUUCCAUGUGUAGCGGUGAAAUGCGCAGAGAUAUGGAGGAACACCAGUGGCGAAGGCGACUUUCUGGUCUGUAACUGACGCUGAUGUGCGAAAGCGUGGGGAUCAAACAGGAUUAGAUACCCUGGUAGUCCACGCCGUAAACGAUGAGUGCUAAGUGUUAGGGGGUUUCCGCCCCUUAGUGCUGCAGCUAACGCAUUAAGCACUCCGCCUGGGGAGUACGACCGCAAGGUUGAAACUCAAAGGAAUUGACGGGGACCCGCACAAGCGGUGGAGCAUGUGGUUUAAUUCGAAGCAACGCGAAGAACCUUACCAAAUCUUGACAUCCUUUGACAACUCUAGAGAUAGAGCCUUCCCCUUCGGGGGACAAAGUGACAGGUGGUGCAUGGUUGUCGUCAGCUCGUGUCGUGAGAUGUUGGGUUAAGUCCCGCAACGAGCGCAACCCUUAAGCUUAGUUGCCAUCAUUAAGUUGGGCACUCUAAGUUGACUGCCGGUGACAAACCGGAGGAAGGUGGGGAUGACGUCAAAUCAUCAUGCCCCUUAUGAUUUGGGCUACACACGUGCUACAAUGGACAAUACAAAGGGCAGCGAAACCGCGAGGUCAAGCAAAUCCCAUAAAGUUGUUCUCAGUUCGGAUUGUAGUCUGCAACUCGACUACAUGAAGCUGGAAUCGCUAGUAAUCGUAGAUCAGCAUGCUACGGUGAAUACGUUCCCGGGUCU
rnacentral:rRNA from 1 species